AGUUGUUAUUCCAGUUUAGUCCCUGUUUCGCCGUUUCAGAAGCAAAUCGAUAAAAAUAAAUUCUCAGUUAGCCCUAGUUCUUCUCUGAGCUUAGCUGACUGUAGCUUUAUCUUCUUCGUUUCUGCGAGAUUUCUGUCGAACCUAUUUGUAUAUCUUCUCUCUUAGAACUCCAAAAAGCCCCAAUUGGUUAGACUGUUCCGAUUCGAAAGGG
rnacentral:misc_RNA from 1 species